rnacentral:rRNA from 1 species
GUGAACGCUGGCGGUAGGCCUAACACAUGCAAGUCGCACGGCAGCACAGUAAGAGCUUGCUCUUACGGGUGGCGAGUGGCGGACGGGUGAGGAAUACAUCGGAAUCUACUUUUUCGUGGGGGAUAACGUAGGGAAACUUACGCUAAUACCGCAUACGACCUACGGGUGAAAGCAGGGGAUCUUCGGACCUUGCGCGAUUGAAUGAGCCGAUGUCGGAUUAGCUAGUUGGCGGGGUAAAGGCCCACCAAGGCGACGAUCCGUAGCUGGUCUGAGAGGAUGAUCAGCCACACUGGAACUGAGACACGGUCCAGACUCCUACGGGAGGCAGCAGUGGGGAAUAUUGGACAAUGGGCGCAAGCCUGAUCCAGCCAUACCGCGUGGGUGAAGAAGGCCUUCGGGUUGUAAAGCCCUUUUGUUGGGAAAGAAAAGCAGCAGGUUAAUACCCCGCUGUUCUGACGGUACCCAAAGAAUCAGCACCGGCUAACUUCGUG